UCGAGCGGAACGAUCCUAGCUUGCUAGGAGGCGUCGAGCGGCGGACGGGUGAGUAAUGCAUAGGAAUCUGCCCGGUAGUGGGGGAUAACUUGAGGAAACUCAAGCUAAUACCGCAUACGCCCCAAGGGGGAAAGCAGGGGAUCUUCGGACCUUGCGCUAUCGGAUGAGCCUAUGUCGGAUUAGCUAGUUGGUGAGGUAAUGGCUCACCAAGGCCGCGAUCCGUAGCUGGUCUGAGAGGAUGAUCAGCCACAUCGGGACUGAGACACGGCCCGAACUCCUACGGGAGGCAGCAGUGGGGAAUAUUGGACAAUGGGCGAAAGCCUGAUCCAGCCAUGCCGCGUGUGUGAAGAAGGCCUUCGGGUUGUAAAGCACUUUCAGCGAGGAAGAACGCUUGUGGGUUAAUACCCCGCAAGAAGGACAUCACUCGCAGAAGAAGCACCGGCUAACUCCGUGCCAGCAGCCGCGGUAAUACGGAGGGUGCAAGCGUUAAUCGGAAUUACUGGGCGUAAAGCGCGCGUAGGCGGCUUGAUAAGCCGGUUGUGAAAGCCCCGGGCUCAACCUGGGAACGGCAUCCGGAACUGUCAGGCUAGAGUGCAGGAGAGGAAGGUAGAAUUCCCGGUGUAGCGGUGAAAUGCGUAGAGAUCGGGAGGAAUACCAGUGGCGAAGGCGGCCUUCUGGACUGACACUGACGCUNAGGUGCGAAAGCGUGGGUAGCAAACAGGAUUAGAUACCCUGGUAGUCCACGCCGUAAACGAUGUCGACUAGCCNUUGGGGUCCUCGAGACCUUUGUGGCGCANUUAACGCGAUAAGUCGACCGCCUGGGGAGUACGGCCGCAAGGUUAAAACUCAAAUGAAUUGACGGGGGCCCGCACAAGCGGUGGAGCAUGUGGUUUAAUUCGAUGCAACGCGAAGAACCUUACCUACUCUUGACAUCGAGCGAACUUUCCAGAGAUGGAUUGGUGCCUUCGGGAACGCUC
rnacentral:rRNA from 1 species